GAUGAACGCUAGCGGCAGGCCUAACACAUGCAAGUCGAGGGGUAACAGGUGUAGCAAUACAUGCUGACGACCGGCGCACGGGUGAGUAACGCGUAUGCAACCUACCUUCAGCUGGGAGAUAACCCGGAGAAAUCCGGACUAAUAUCCCAUAACAUUAUCGGGUCGCAUGAUCUGGUAAUUAAAGCUCCGGCGGCUGAAGAUGGGCAUGCGUGGCAUUAGCUUGUUGGUGAGGUAACGGCUCACCAAGGCAACGAUGCCUAGGGGGUCUGAGAGGAUGAUCCCCCACACUGGUACUGAGACACGGACCAGACUCCUACGGGAGGCAGCAGUGAGGAAUAUUGGGCAAUGGACGCAAGUCUGACCCAGCCAUGCCGCGUGCAGGAUGAAGGCCCUAGUGGUUGUAAACUGCUUUUGUACGGGAAGAAACCUCCGCACGUGUGCGGGGCUGACGGUACCGUAUGAAUAAGCAUCGGCUAACUCCGUGCCAGCAGCCGCGGUAAUACGGAGGAUGCGAGCGUUAUCCGGAUUCAUUGGGUUUAAAGGGUGCGUAGGCGGAGUGAUAAGUCAGUGGUGAAAUCCUGCGGCUUAACCGUAGAACUGCCGUUGAUACUGUCAUUCUUGAGUACAGUUGAGGUGGGUGGAAUGUGUAAUGUAGCGGUGAAAUGCAUAGAGAUUACACAGAACGCCAAUUGCGAAGGCAGCUCACUAAGCUGUUACUGACGCUGAGGCACGAAAGCGUGGGGAUCAAACAGGAUUAGAUACCCUGGUAGUCCACGCCGUAAACGAUGAUCACUCGCUGUUGGCGAUAUACUGUCAGCGGCCGAGCAAAAGCAUUAAGUGAUCCACCUGGGGAGUACGACCGCAAGGUUGAAACUCAAAGGAAUUGACGGGGACCCGCACAAGCGGAGGAACAUGUGGUUCAAUUCGAUGAUACGCGAGGAACCUUACCUGGGCUUAAAUGCAGAACGACAGGCUGGGAAACUGGCCCUUCUUCGGACGGUCUGCAAGGUGCUGCAUGGUUGUCGUCAGCUCGUGCCGUGAGGUGUCGGGUUAAGUCCCAUAACGAGCGCAACCCUUAUCGUUAGUUGCCAACGGGUCAUGCCGGGGACUCUAACGAAACUGCCGGCGUAAGCCGUGAGGAAGGUGGGGAUGACGUCAAAUCAGCACGGCCCUUAUGUCCAGGGCUACACACGUGUUACAAUGGCCGGAACAAAGGGCUGCUAUGCCGCGAGGCAAUGCUAAUCUCUAAAACCGGUCUCAGUUCGGAUCGAAGUCUGCAAUUCGACUUCGUGAAGUUGGAUUCGCUAGUAAUCGCGCAUCAGCAAUGGCGCGGUGAAUACGUUCCCGGGUCUUGUACACACCGCCCGUCAAGCCAUGGAAGCUGGGAGUGCCUGAAGUCCGUGACCGCAAGGAGCGGCCUAGGGUAAAACCAGUGACUGGGGCU
rnacentral:rRNA from 1 species